UUUAUUGAGAGUUUGAUCUUGGCUCAGGACGAACGCUGGCGGCGUGCCUAACACAUGCAAGUUGAGCGAGGUUUCGAACCGAGCAGCAAACGGGUGAGUAACACGUAAGCAACCUACCUUUAAGACUGGUACAACCUGGAGAAAUCUGGGCUAAUUCCAGAUGUGACCCCGGUUUCAAAUGGAACUGGGAUUAAAUCCCGCAAGGGGCUUAAAGAUGGGCUUGCGUCCUAUCAGCUAGUUGGCGGGGUAAUGGCCCACCAAGGCAAUGACGGGUAGCUGGUCUGAGAGGACGAUCAGCCACAAGGGAACUGAGACACGGUCCCUACUCCUACGGGAGGCAGCAGUGAGGAAUUUUCCGCAAUGGGCGAAAGCCUGACGGAGCGACGCCGUGUGUGCGACGAAAUCCUUCGGGAUGUAAAGCACUGUCAGUGGGGAAGAUAUUGACGGUACCCACAGAGGAAGGCCCGGCUAACUACGUGCCAGCAGCCGCGGUAAUACGUAGGGGCCAAGCGUUGUCCGGAAUUACUGGGCG
rnacentral:rRNA from 1 species